AUUAGAGUUUGAUCCUGGCUCAGGAUGAACGCUAGCGGCAGGCCUAAUACAUGCAAGUCGAGGGGCAGCAUGGCACUUCGGUGCUGAUGGCGACCGGCGAACGGGUGCGUAACGCGUAUGCAAUCUGCCUUGUACAGGGGAAUAGCCACUGGAAACGGUGAUUAAUGUCCCAUAUUAUCUAUUUAGCACAUGCUGUAUAGAUGAAAGCUCCGGCGGUACAAGAUGAGCAUGCGUCUCAUUAGCUUGUUGGUGAGGUAAUGGCUCACCAAGGCGACGAUGAGUAGGGGAUCUGAGAGGAUGAUCCUCCACACUGGCACUGAGACACGGGCCAGACUCUUACGGGAGGCAGCAGUAGGGAAUAUUGGUCAAUGGGCGCAAGCCUGAACCAGCCAUGCCGCGUGCAGGAUUGAAGGUCCUUAGGAUUGUAAACUGCUUUUUUAUGAGAGCAAAAACUUCCUGCGGGGAGGAAUGAGAGUAUCAUAAGAAUAAGCACCGGCUAACUCCGUGCCAGCAGCCGCGGUAAUACGGAGGGUGCAA
rnacentral:rRNA from 1 species